UAUUUUUACUGACCCUUAAAUUCUUCAUAAGUAACUGCAAAAGAAGCCAUUAUCCCAACACAUGAAAUAAAAAAAAAAUUCAGUUCCUCUGGAGUUUGUUUUUGGAGGUAGCCACAGGAUACCUAAAUUUUUUUUUCUUUUCAGAGAGACCGAGGGGCUCACUAGGUUGACCAGGCUGGUCUUGAACUCCUGGCCUCAAGCCAUCCUCCCACCUCAGCCUCCCAAAGUGCUGGGAUUACAUGCAUGAGCCACCACAUCCAGCCUCCCUAAAAUAUUGAAUGCUGUUAAUAAAUCUCCUAAGAAGGUGAUGGGCAAAACUAAUGCAGGGUUUCAGUUGUGCAAUUUCACCAUUAGCAAAGCUUUUUGCUGAAAUCUGGAUUUUCAAAGGGAGAGUAUCCAGAAACAGAAGAUGCUGAUCUGGGAGGCUCUUCCUAAUAGAACUGCUGCUUCAGUUUAGCUUGAAAAAGCCCACACUCAGUUCCUAAUGACAAACAUCUGAACACCAGGUCUUCCCACGAGCAAGACCAUGCUAUUCCUCCUGCUCGCUCUGUUCUAUAAGCAACCCACAGAUUGCUCCCUGUGAAGAGGAGCCUGCCAGGGAGCAGCAUUCCACCAGAUCCUGAUUUAGCAAGAUAUUUCCGUAUCAUUCCCCCAACCAGCUGGAAGUCCUCCACUGUUCUUGUGUAAAAAUCUAACUCAUCUCGCUGAAUUUCCUGAUUUAAAAGUCUAAUUCAUUUCACCAAAAGUGUGACAGAAGGAAACCAAGUACACCAUCUCUCUCUUACCAAACCAAAGCUAUUGCAUGUGCAUUCUGGGAGAAAAAAAUGGUCCAAAUAUGUUAUGGAGGGGGUGCCAGCCCAGUGUCAUCCUCUUACUAUUGCCAUAGGAUCUUGGCUGAUGGCAUCAGAAGAAAAACAAGUUUAUCGAUUACUUUCAACCAUUAAGCUCACUCCUCCAUGAAAAAUAAGUCACAAGUCCAAUGUCUCUUAUUAAAAUAAGCACUGCAAAAUAUAAAGGACUCACAGUUUUAAAAUGGGACACACGUUCUCUAAGCGGUGAACCACUUUAGAGGUGUACUGUUUACAUUGUAUAAAGUCCCCUGGAGCCAGGGUUAGGAAGCGCAUCUGUUCUUUGGUGUUCUGGGAUGAAGGAGAAAGGAAAAUGUGCUGCCAGAAGUGAGUGGGAAGGAGCCCAUGAGAUAAAGGAAGUAAAUCCAUUUGCUGAUUGCAAUAAUAAUGGUCAUCCUCCGAAUGAAUUUAUAUUACCGAGUGGAGGGUCACAUGAAGAAAAUGGUCAAACAGCACCACCUACAGCAAGAGCUGAGAAGUGCAGCGGAGCCGGGCUGAGUCAGGAAAGAAAAGCAAGCUGGGGCCUGGCUCAGAGCUCUCCCCUCUGCUCCUGUCUGCACGGAAAGAUUAGGAUGACAGUGGCAGGAAGCCUGUGCACCUAGUAUGCAUCACUUGAAGGGAACACACAGAUUCCAGUAAACAGUUGGAAGGAAAUGUUAAUACCAGGCUCUGCUAAACAAUAUGAAAUGACUCCUAGAUGAGACAAGUGACUUUCAUCAAAGUUUCCUGAUACCUGAAAAGAUAGCCCAGGUGAUCCUGCACUACAUCUGCUGUAUGUAAAUUAAGCGGGUUUUUUUCCCCUUUGUAAUCAAGGCUCAUACACAAACAAAAUCACACUUUAGAAACGGCUUAUUUCAACUUGUAACUAGCUUGCUUUCAGGGGCUCCAGGUCAAAAAGAAAUAGAGCACAAAGACGCUUUCUCCUUAGGGAUCAUACACAAAUUCACUCUGUCCGUUUCUUUCCCACAUGGAGCAACAAAGCCAUCAGACCUCUCCAUCCACCCAUCGGGUCCUUCCUGAUUAAAGUGAGAUAAAUCACAGCCCUCUCUCUCCAGAUGGCAGGCGACAAGAGGGGGAUGCUUGCCUCAAGAAGUCCUCCCCAUCCCUCUGCAUUCAUGCAAGCCCGAGCGGAGAGAUGCAAGAAAUUAUGGAUGCAUUUUAAUUGCCCAGACCCUGCAAUUAAAAAUGGAAAUUUUUUGGCCACGCGUGUUGGCUCACGCCUGUAAUCCCAGCACUUUCGGAGGCCGAGGUCGGCGGAUCAUUUGGGGUCAGGAGUUCGAGACCAGCCUGGCCAACAUGGUGAAACCCUGUCUCUACUGAAAAUACAAAAAUUAGCUAGGAAUGGUGGUGGGAGCCUGUCGUCCCAGCUACUCGGGAGGAUGAGGCAGGAGAAUCACUUGAACCCGGGAGGCAAAGUUUGCAGUGAGCCAAGAUCGCACCACUGCACUCCACUCUGGGUGACAAAGCAAGACUUCAUCUCAAAAAAUGUUUUUUAAAAAUGGAAGUGUUGUUCUUUCAUUUGUAAAUGUGUUUUGGUAAAAGAGGGGCAGUUUAAGCAACCCUUUUUUGUUGUCUACAUUGUUAAAAUUCAUCAGACAUGGACUCUUGACUCCGUUUUGCCUGGGCAGACCCAAUUCAAGCAUUUACAACAGCUAUAACUUCCUCAAAUCAAAAAGAGGAAUCAGCAUUAUUGCUAAGUUCAAAUAAGGUCUUGUUUUAUUUCAUUUUUAUUUUUGAAUGCAGCCAUUCCUCCAGGUGCUAUCAUCAGGUAAGAUUGUCAGUCCUGAUUAGGUAAAGGUAUUAUUACAAAAUGCAAUUCUUAAAAAUUCAGUGUCUAACUACACUUUUAAUAAGCCUUUCCCCCUCCCCUAUGUAUUCUCCCUUAGACACCCCUUCUCAAAUUUAAAAUCACAGAAACUAAAAUAUGAUGCCUAAAGAGAGCCUAGCAACUGCCCAGUCCUCUAAUUUGAUGAGUGGGAGUACUGAAGCCCAGAGGAGGUCAAGUAAUUUGUUCCCAAUGUCUUAGAUAAGAAGAAAAUGACCAGCUGGGAAAUCCCACUCAUGUCAAGGCAGAGGCACAGGGCCACAGACUGUGGUUGAAUUGUGCCACACUCCUACAUCCUUCUUUAGGAAUCACAGAACAUUCCUGUGUUGAGUUGGAGUCACUGACUUCCUUUUCAGGCUGAUUGAGUUCUGUCCUUACAGGCUGCGACAAGAAGUUUUGGUAUUAUGCUACACCAAGACCAUUUAUCUAGUUCAAGAAAUGAGCACAGUCCUUAGAGCCCAGCAACUUUCCCCAUGUCCAGUAAAUGUAGCUUCUCCAUUAGAAGCUGUCAGAAUGGAGCCUUCUGGCUCAUCUUGAUUUUGAUUUGUGCAAGAAUGAAUGGUUGUGCUAAGACAGCUUUCCUAGCUGAUAGUGAGCAAAACUUUUUUCUCAUAAUCUAUAAAAAAAUAUUAAAUUAGAAGCACAGAGUUUAUUUCAUGACUUUUAUCUUCCUGCAAUUUUCUUAUGGGCAUAAAUGAUUUGUUUUUAUCCUGCCUGCCCCCCCAAUCCCUUUUCCAAGAGACUAAAAGAGUAUCUAGUGCAAAGUAGAUACUCAAAUAUUUUUUAAUAAACAGUGAUCCCAGCCACCCAGUGCAUGUUGCCAAAUGCCAACCCCAUAAAUGAUCAAACACAUCAUCUCAUUCAGCCAAUCAAAAUCAAGUGCUACCUAUUUUUUUAAGUUUUCAUAGCCCUUGGGCAUCUGCUUUCUCAGCAUUUCCCAAACUUGAGUCAUUCUCAUCCUGCCUUCAUAAUUUUGCUCUGUCAAUUACCUCUACUAUUAUUUAUUUCAUAUAUUUUUAAAUAGCCCCACUUUUGAAACUUAAAUACAUGCCUUUUAAAAGGAAGCUUUCUUACUACUAUACAUCAAAAGCCAUUAUUACUUGUUCUAAGUACUCAUAACAACAUAUUCACAACUAUUAAAAUUUAGUAAUGUGCAUCCACAUACUCUCUAAAUUCAUGGAGCAUCUGCACACACUUUAAGAAACAAUUCUGCAUUACUCACUCAAUUUUCUUGACAUCCUUCUGAGGCAGGACAAACCUUGGGCCCAAAGAAUUGAGGUAGGAGUCCAAGCAAGUUGCCAGCCACAUAAAGGCAAACCUUGGCUCGGAAGUCAGGACCUAGGUUAUGGUUCAUGCUCUUUCCUCUGCUCUCCAGAACCUCCUAUCUCCAAGUGUAGUUAGCAGCCCAGAUGCAGCAGCAUCCCCUAGAGACUUGUUAAAAAUGCAGAAGCUCAGGCUCCACCCCAGGCCUAUGCAGACUGAAUCUGCAUUUUAACAAGGUCCAGGUAAUUCACGUGCACAUUAAGUUUGAAAAGGCCUGGUCUAGAUCAGCAGUUCUCUAACUUAGCAGCACAUUAGAACCAUCUGUAGAGACUUUAAAAAUACCAGUGCCUGGGCUUCAUCUCCCGGAGAAUCUGAUUUAAGUGUCUGGGGUUUGCCCUGAGUCUAGGUAUUUUUUAGAACUCCUCAGCUUAUACAAAGCUGGCAGGGCCGGGCACAGUGGCUCAUGCCUAUAAUCCCAGCACUUCGUGAGGCCAAAGUGGGCAGAUUGCUUGAGUCCAGGAGUUUGAGACUAGCCCGGGCUAAAACCCCAUCCCUACAAAAAAAAAAAUACAAAAAGUAGUUGGGCAUGGUGGUGGCACAUACCUGUAGUCCCGGCUACUCAGGAGGCUGAGUCCUCGCUUGAACCCAGGAGGUCACGGUCUGGUCAACAGAGCAAGACCCUGUAUCAAAACAAACAAACAAAAAAUGCUAGCAGCUUACCAGCUAGGGAGGCCUGUACAGCCAAGUUUUCCAAAUGGGGCUACAUUAGUUGUUCCAGAACUUUAGCUGCAUCAAAACCACCUGGAUGGCUUGUUCAGCUACAGAGGGUCUGGCCAUGCCCCUAGAGUUUCCAGCUGAGGGUCUGGAAUGAGGCCCGAUGAUUUGCAUUUCUAACAAUCUCCAGGCGAUGCUAAUGCUGUGGGUCCAGGGACCACAUUUUGAGAAUCUAUGCUAAAUGAACCGGACAAGAUCAAAGCUCAAACUUAUUCCAAGAACUUUUCAAGGCCCACCUGCAAGUUGUAGUGGAAGUAAGCAUCUAAGGGUGCAAAAAAGUUUCACUGUAGACUAAGGCCUUUUACCUGAGCUCUCAAAUGUUCACAUUUCUCUUAUCAACCUAAAUAACAAACAGAGAGAGGCUCUCCACAAGAAAAAGAUAUUCGUUUGGAAACAGAGCCUUGCAAUAGAAAUAGGCAAGCCAGAGUAAACUAUAUGCAUAUUCACGGAGGUAAAGGAAGACAAAAGAAAAAAUGAGGAAGAUUAUAUGAUCAUUUGGAAAUGAUUAUCCUUGGCUACAAAGAUCAAUAACAAAGGUGAUGCCAGGCCCAGGUUGGACAGGCAGUUGUUGGACAAAUAUCCUUCAGAAGCAUUGUUGUGUGCAAAGUUGCGAUGGGCUUUGUGCAAGAUUGUGUUUUUUGCAGUCUUCUGUGAUAAGUUUUUGUUAUCAGGCAUACAAGCCCAAGAAUCCUUUUUUGCAUGGCCUUCCCUGGCUCUAUUUGUCAGGGUUUUGGUUAGGGGAGGGGUAUUUUUAACACUCUCAAUGUAAAAAAUGCCAUAAGGUAGGUACCCCAAUUGCUUGUUUCGUCUUCAUAAAAUAACUUUUCCACCCGAACAAAGUCUACACAUAAAUUGUAAAAAUACCCUGGCAUGCAGUCCCUGGAAAAGUUUGGAGUCAUUCUCGGGGUUCCCACCCAGGUGGGCGAGUGUAGCCACCACAGAUAAACACAAAGUAGGGGUGCCCGCUGGGGUUUGGUGGCAGGCAGUGGCCCUGGUUGGUAUAUUUGGCUGAAAACACAGCUCCUCUUUGUCACCCUCAGGAAGCCAUCCCAAACCGCUCGAGGAGUCCUUGAAGCCAAUGUUACCACUAGGGCAGCAAGUUUGCCUGAAAGCUAUUUGCCUUUGCAGCAGAUUCAUUAAGCCAGAACAAAGAGAAGACCAAUGACUAAAAGAUUUCUCUCCUUUUAAAAAUCAUGCUCUUUAACUCAUAGCACAUUUUCAUUGUCCAUCUGGGCAAAGCCGCUGUCUCAUUUUGCUUUUUCCCUCGUCUGUGAUGCUCACACUCAUCCUCCCUAUCCCAUCAGCAACCUCUCUAGUAUGUUUGAUAUGUGUCCUUAAACUUUAUAUCUUGGCCGGGGGCGCGGUGGCUGUAAUCUCAGCACUUUGGGAGAUGGAGGUGGGUCUAUCACUUGAGCCCAGGAGUUUGAGAUCAGCCUGAGCAACAUAGUAAGAUUUCAUCUUUACUAAAAAUAAAAAACAAAAAAAAUUUAGCGAGGUAUGGUGGCCU
rnacentral:lncRNA from 1 species